AGUGAACGCUGGCGGUAGGCCUAACACAUGCAAGUCGAACGGCAGCACAGGAGAGCUUGCUCUCUGGGUGGCGAGUGGCGGACGGGUGAGGAAUACAUCGGAAUCUACUUUUUCGUGGGGGAUAACGUAGGGAAACUUACGCUAAUACCGCAUACGACCUACGGGUGAAAGCAGGGGAUCUUCGGACCUUGCGCGAUUGAAUGAGCCGAUGUCGGAUUAGCUAGUUGGCGGGGUAAAGGCCCACCAAGGCGACGAUCCGUAGCUGGUCUGAGAGGAGGAUCGGCCACACUGGAACUGAGACACGGUCCAGACUCCUACGGGAGGCAGCAGUGGGGAAUAUUGGACAAUGGGCGCAAGCCUGAUCCAGCCAUACCGCGUGGGUGAAGAAGGCCUUCGGGUUGUAAAGCCCUUUUGUUGGGAAAGAAAUCCAGCUGGUUAAUACCCGGUUGGGAUGACGGUACCCAAAGAAUAAGCACCGGCUAACUUCGCGCCAGCCGCCGCGGUAA
rnacentral:rRNA from 1 species